rnacentral:sRNA from 1 species
UUCAGGCCAGAAGGCCUUUAUUUAUCCACAGAACAAGUACAGAAUAAGCAGCAACAGAGCAUGCUUCCCCGCCUUCCCCUGACAGCAUACCUAGUUCUGGGCUGGAGCCUGACCUCAAGCCAACUGCUUGAGAAGGCUUUUCGUUUUCCCACAACUCAGUUUUUGGCCUCU